UACGUAGGGUGCAAGCGUUGUCCGGAAUUAUUGGGCGUAAAGAGCUCGUAGGCGAUCUGUCGCGUCUGCUGUGAAAAUCCAGGGCUCAACCCUGGACCUGCAGUGGGUACGGGCAGACUAGAGUGCGGUAGGGGAGAUCGGAAUUCCUGGUGUAGCGGUGAAAUGCGCAGAUAUCAGGAGGAACACCGGUGGCGAAGGCGGAUCUCUGGGCCGUAACUGACGCUGAGGAGCGAAAGCAUGGGGAGCGAACAGG
rnacentral:rRNA from 1 species